CUCUCAUUUCCUUUUCUUUCUUUUUCUUUCUUUCUUUCUUCUUCUUUCCCUCUCUUUCUCUUCCCCCCACCCACCAGCCGGCUGGCCCAUUAUAUGGGCAGUGCCGCCUAUGGGAAUGGCACCAUCGGUGCCACCCAUGGGAAAGGCACCACCAGGGUAUUGUCACAUCACCUGCAGCCUUUUUUUCUGUUUUUUUGUAUUAUUUUCGUAAUUAAAAA
rnacentral:lncRNA from 1 species